GUCUCCGUGUUUCCUGUCGUGGCAUCCUCGGCAUUCCCCACCACACUCCCAGCCACAUUGCUUCUCCGAGUACGUCACGGCCCAGGACUCACUGCUGGCGCACAUGCAGGCUGGCACAGGCAGUGGGAUGCAUUCCUGGGAUAGACAGAGAAAGCUGCUGACUUCACUCCCCUGCCUAGGAGACAAUGCUGUGCUUCUCACACCUCUGCUUCAGCCCUGAGCAGUUUCUACCUCAACCCAGAUGAUGUUCCAUAUGAGCACUGAGACAACUGGAUGGAAGUCACUGUUCUUCAGGUUCACAACUUCAUUGUACAGCAAAAAACCCACUGAGUGACAUCGGGUGUACUGAGGAUAGAACUGCCUAGGUCUGAAAGCAAACGAGGAUGGAGAGGAGAGCUGCCUGCUCUUUCCUGCUCAUGGAGGCUGCUUUGCUGCAAAUGCCAGUGUUUGUGGUUCACCUGAGGAGAUCACCAGCUAUUCAAGACCACUGCCAUCAGAUGCCAACAGCUGCAGCUCAUCGGCCUACGGUUCUUUCUGAUGAAGUGCUUUUCAGAUCAGAAUAUGCCAAUCCGUCAAACCCAAGACUUUCGAUGGGGCGAGAGAGUUCAACCAACUCCAUCCAGUUUAAAAUUCCACUUUUGUUUUUAAAAUUAAACCACUGG
rnacentral:lncRNA from 1 species